CUCCUGGAACAGCUCGUUCUUCUCCCGUGCCCUACCGUUUGCUGCCAUUUGUGGGCUGAGAUAGGCCCACUUUAUUCCUCAGGCCGCGUCCCUGGGUGGCGUCUGUGACCGAGCAGAGCGACGUGACCCUUCUCAACGAGAACGGCAGACCCAGCAAAGCGGAACAGGAAGCGCUUUCAAUUAACAAGUCUCUCGUGCACAGGCGGAUGGCUAGCCCGAGCUCCUCUGACAGCCUGGGGACCCAAUGUUCCAGAUUGAAGCUGCGCCGUCACCUACCUGGUCCUGAGGUGAGGACGAAGUGGAGCCAAGCUGCUUGCCUCCCUGAGGGACGUGGAGUGAGAGCC
rnacentral:lncRNA from 1 species